AUGACCAAGUAUUAUAAGGAUUUCUUUGGACAUUCAGAGAUAUCCACCAUAUCUCUAAAUACUAAUAAUCCUAGGACUAUUCCUAGUGAUGUUGUUGAUAAGCUAACAACGAAAUUUUUCUUAGAGGCAAUUAAGAAUGUAGUGUUUGGUACGGAUCAUACUAAAUCACCAGACCCUGAUGGGUUUCCUGCUUAGUUUUAUCAGCACUUUUGGGACCUGGUUAAGAAUGAUAUUAAAACUUCGUUUGAUGAUUUUCAUAAUGGUCCGUUAGGCAUAUCCAGACUUAAUUAUGGUAUUAUUACCUUAGUCCCUAAAAUUAAAGAUGCAAAUCAAAUUCAUAAGUUUAGGCCUAUUUGUGUGCUAAAUGUGAGCUUUAUUUUUUUUACUAAAGUACUUAUGAUUAGACUUAAUGGGGUUGCUGGGGAGGUGGUUUUCCCAAUACAAAGUUUCUUUAUUAAGGGUAGGUAUAUUAUGGAAGGUGUGCUUAUUUUGCAUUAG
rnacentral:rRNA from 1 species